rnacentral:rRNA from 1 species
UUCGCAAUGCCCGAAAGGGUGACGAAGCGACGCCGCGUGAGGGAUUGAAGGCCUUCGGGUCGUAAACCUCUUUUAUGCCGUUAGAUGGUGGUACGUGCGAAUAUCGCGUACCAUUGGACGAAGGCAAGAAAAAGCUCCGGCUGACUACGUGCCAGCAGCCGCGGUAAUACGUAGGGAGCGAGUGUUGUUCGGAUUCACUGGGCUUAAAGGGCGCGUAGGCGGCUUGGCAACUCGAGGGUGAAAUCCCGUCCUUCAAAGGCGGAAUGGCUAUCGAAAGUACCGAGCUCGAGGGUGGGAGGGGAGAGUGGAACUCCUGGUGUAGCGGUGAAAUGCGUAGGUAUCAGAAGGAACGCCGGCGGCGAAAGCGGCUCUCUGGCCCAUAACUGACGCUGAGUGUGCGAAAGCUAGGGGAGCAAACGGGAUUAGAUACCCCGGUAGUCCUAGCCGUAAACGAUGGGCACUAAGUAGAGGGGUUUU